rnacentral:rRNA from 1 species
GUGGGGAAUAUUGGACAAUGGGCGAAAGCCUGAUCCAGCCAUGCCGCGUGUGUGAAGAAGGUCUUCGGAUUGUAAAGCACUUUAAGUUGGGAGGAAGGGCAGUAAGUUAAUACCUUGCUGUUUUGACGUUACCGACAGAAUAAGCACCGGCUAACUUCGUGCCAGCAGCCGCGGUAAUACGAAGGGUGCAAGCGUUAAUCGGAAUUACUGGGCGUAAAGCGCGCGUAGGUGGUUUUGUAAGUUGGAGGUGAAAUCCCCGGGCUCAACCUGGGAACUGGCUCCAAAACUGGCGAGCUAGAGUACGGUAGAGGGUGGUGGAAUUUCCUGUGUAGCGGUGAAAUGCGUAGAUAUAGGAAGGAACACCAGUGGCGAAGGCGACCACCUGGACUGAUACUGACACUGAGGUGCGAAAGCGUGGGGAGCAAACAGGAUUAGAAACCCAGUAGUCC